rnacentral:rRNA from 2 species
CUUUUGGGGAGGCCUACACAUGCAAGUCGAGCGGUAGCACAGAGAGCUUGCUCUCGGGUGACGAGUGGCGGACGGGUGAGUAAUGUCUGGGAAACUGCCUGAUGGAGGGGGAUAACUACUGGAAACGGUAGCUAAUACCGCAUAACGUCGCAAGACCAAAGUGGGGGACCUUCGGGCCUCAUGCCAUCAGAUGUGCCCAGAUGGGAUUAGCUUGUAGGUGGGGUAACGGCUCACCUAGGCGACGAUCCCUAGCUGGUCUGAGAGGAUGACCAGCCACACUGGAACUGAGACACGGUCCAGACUCCUACGGGAGGCAGCAGUGGGGAAUAUUGCACAAUGGGCGCAAGCCUGAUGCAGCCAUGCCGCGUGUAUGAAGAAGGCCUUCGGGUUGUAAAGUACUUUCAGCGAGGAGGAAGGCGAUAAGGUUAAUAACCUUGUCGAUUGACGUUACUCGCAGAAGAAGCACCGGCUAACUCCGUGCUAGCAGCCGCGGUAAUACGGAGGGUGCAAGCGUUAAUCGGAAUUACUGGGCGUAAAGCGCACGCAGGCGGUCUGUCAAGUCGGAUGUGAAAUCCCCGGGCUCAACCUGGGAACUGCAUCCGAAACUGGCAGGCUAGAGUCUUGUAGAGGGGGGUAGAAUUCCAGGUGUAGCGGUGAAAUGCGUAGAGAUCUGGAGGAAUACCGGUGGCGAAGGCGGCCCCCUGGACAAAGACUGACGCUCAGGUGCGAAAGCGUGGGGGAGCAAACAGGAUUAGAUACCCUGGUAGUCCACGCUGUAAACGAUGUCGACUUGGAGGUUGUUCCCUUGAGGAGUGGCUUCCGGAGCUAACGCGUUAAGUCGACCGCCUGGGGAGUACGGCCGCAAGGUUAAAACUCAAAUUGAAUUGACGGGGGGCCCGCACAAGCGGUGGGAGCAUGGUGGGUUUUAUUUCGAUGCAUCGCGAAGGAAUGAGUGACCUUACUUCUUGACAUCAGAGAACUUAGCCAGAGAUUGCUUUGGGUGUCCUUCGGGAUCUCUGAGACAGGGGCCUGGCAUGGCUGUCGAUCAGC